GAUGAACGCUAGCGGCAGGCCUAAUACAUGCAAGUCGAACGGGAUCCAGAUCAUAGCUUGCUGUGGUCUGGUGAGAGUGGCGCACGGUUCCUUAACGCGUGAGCAACCUACCCUUGUCACGUGGGUAGCCCGGCGCAAGUCCGAUUAAUACCGCGUGACAUCAUUGAGAGGCAUCUCUCGCUGAUCAAAAACUUAUCGGCCAAGGAUGGGCUCGCGUGACAUUAGCUGGUGGGUAAGGUAACGGCUUACCCAGGCUGCGAUGUCUAGGGGAUAUGAGAGGAGAACACCCCACAAUGGAAACGCGAUACGGACUCGAAUGGUACGGGAGGCAGCAGUAAGGAAGAUUGGGCAAUAGACGGAAGUCUGAACCAGCCGCGCCGCGUGCAGGAAGACGGCGCUAUGGGUUGUAAACUGCUUUUAUACGGGAACAAUCGUCGGUACGCGUACCGGUCUGAGUGUACCGUAAGAAUAAGCACCGGCUAACUUCGUG
rnacentral:rRNA from 1 species